UACGUAGGUGGCAAGCGGUGUCCGGAAUUACUGGGCGUAAAGGGCGCGCAGGCGGCCCAGUAAGUCGGAUGUGAAAGUCCGAGGCUCAACCUCGGAAAGGCAUUCGGUACUGCUGGGCUUGAGGAAGGUAGAGGAGAGUGGAAUUCCCGGUGUAGCGGUGGAAUGCGCAGAUAUCGGGAGGAACACCAGCGGCGAAGGCGGCUCUCUGGGCCUCUCCUGACGCUGAGGCGCGAAAGCGUGGGUAGCAAACAGG
rnacentral:misc_RNA from 1 species